CUCCCCUCUUUUGGUGCGCUCUGAAGGGGCCCCCCUGUGCGAGGAAUCUGUAGUAUUGAACGGGGGUUGCUGCAAGCAGGGGGCAGGAUGUAGCACGUCCUUGACGAUCUGCAGGCAGAUGGAUGCUGGCUCUGUUUCUUUCUUCAUGUGUGCCAUAUACAGCUUGUCUACCAACGUUUCUGGUGGUGCGGCUGAAUGCCUGCGACAGCAGGUUCAGGGUCAGAAGUGACUGCAGCGGACAGACAGAGGACCCUGCAUCUGGAGCGGCAUCUGAUGGGGUCACAGCACCCAGGCAGCCAGGUAUACAGAGAACUCACAUCCAAGGUGGCCAUGAGCUAUCCCGGUUCAUAUUUUAAAUUCUCGAAGAUCUUGACUGCCAUCGUGGUGUCUUUUAAAUAGGAAGGGAUUUUCUAAACAAACGGCUGUAGGAAUCUGUCCAGACAAAUUACAGGUGGGAAUAUAUUCUUCUUCUAAGGCAACAGAUGUUUCAGUGAGUGUACCCCAGCGUCACGAGAAACUGUGAAAACCAGGUCUUUAAUUAGAAGGGACAGACAAUGUCAGCUUCCUCAGAGAAGCAGAUGCCACAUCUAUGUGUCUACAGUGGCCUCCAGGGUAUUUUUCUUUACCAGUUACAAGUUUACGAGGUUCAGACACUAACCGUGUUUAUUUCAUAUGGCAGAAAAUAUGAUGGGUAAAAAUAAACUU